ACGGAAGGCAGCAGUGGGGAAUAUUGCACAAUGGGCGAAAGCCUGAUGCAGCGACGCCGCGUGAGUGAAGAAGUAUCUCGGUAUGUAAAGCUCUAUCAGCAGGGAAGAAAAUGACGGUACCUGACUAAGAAGCCCCGGCUAACUACGUGCCAGCAGCCGCGGUAAUACGUAGGGGGCAAGCGUUAUCCGGAUUUACUGGGUGUAAAGGGAGCGUAGACGGUUUGGCAAGUCUGAAGUGAAAUGCGGGGGCUCAACUCCUGAACUGCUUUGGAAACUGUCGAGCUAGAGUGCAGGAGAGGUAAGUGGAAUUCCUAGUGUAGCGGUGAAAUGCGUAGAUAUUAGGAGGAACACCAGUGGCGAAGGCGGCUUACUGGACUGUAACUGACGUUGAGGCUCGAAAGCGUGGGGAGCAAACAGGAUUAGAUACCCUGGUA
rnacentral:rRNA from 2 species